rnacentral:rRNA from 1 species
UACGGAGGGUGCAAGCGUUAUCCGGAUUUACUGGGGUUAAAGGGUGCGUAGGUGGGUUGGUAAGUCAGUGGUGAAAUACUUUCGCUUAACGAAGGAACUGCCAUUGAUACUAUCAAUCUUGAAUGUAGUGGAGGUAGGCGGAAUGCGUCAUGUAGCGGUGAAAUGCUUAGAUAUGACGCAGAACACCAAUUGCGAAGGCAGCUUGCUACACUACUAUUGACACUGAGGCACGAAAGCGUGGGGAUCAAACAGG